GAGGGUAUAGCUCAAGUGGUAGAGUACAUGCCUAGCAUGCACAAAGUCCUGGAUUCAAUCUCCAGUACCGCCU
rnacentral:tRNA from 1 species